rnacentral:lncRNA from 1 species
GUAUACAUCCGCCGCCACGUAAAGUCGGAAUUUGGAUAUAAAAUGCAAUGCUUCGUUAGUGAGAGUGGAUCCGUCUUAUUAUUAUUUUACAAUUGGAGUGGAAAUUCUCGUCCUUCAUCGUAAUCGACAUACUUUUUACAACCUACCUAUUUCAUUAAUUGAACAAUUGUUGAUACAUUCUUGUCCUGAAUAUGCGUGAAAUACUUG